UACGGAGGAUGCAAGCGUUAUCCGGAAUCAUUGGGCGUAAAGCGUACGUAGGUGGCUUUUCAAGUCUGCCGUCAAAGACCGGGGCUUAACCCCAGAAAGGCGGUGGAAACUGAAUAGCUAGAGUGCGGUAGGGGUAGAGGGAAUUCCCGGUGUAGCGGUGAAAUGCGUAGAGAUCGGGAAGAACACCGGUGGCGAAAGCGCUCUACUGGACCGUAACUGACACUCAGGGACGAAAGCUAGGGGAGCGAAUGGG
rnacentral:rRNA from 1 species